rnacentral:pre_miRNA from 1 species
GUCAUGCCUGGCUCCCUGUAUGCCACAAGUAAAUACCGAUCUCAUUAUGAAAUCGGACACUAGUGGCGUACAGAGUAGUCAAGCAUGAC